GUAAAGUAAGCUUUGCUUAAUUAGGGAGGAUAAUUAUUAAUAUGACUUGUCUUAUUAUAAUUCGCACUCCCGGGGCGUCUAUUACUCAUUGCGAGUAAAGGCGCACCUAGAGCGUACACGUUGGGACCCGAAAGAUGGUGAACUAUGCCUGGCCAGGAUGAAGCCAGGGGAAACCCUGGUGGAGGUCCGUAGCGAUUCUGACGUGCAAAUCGAUCGUCAGAGCUAGGUAUAGGGGCGAUAGACUUAUCGAACUAUCUAGUAGCUGGUUCCUUCCGAAGUUUCCCUCAGGAUAGCUGGUGUCAAUGAUGAUUAGAGUCUCAUCUGGUAAAGCGAAUGAUUAGAGGCCUUGGGGCCGAAACGACCUCAACCUAUUCUCAAACUUUAAAUGGAUGAGAGCCUUGGCUUGCUUAAAAGUGAAGCCAAGGAUUCGGAUCUAGAUGCCAAGUGGGCCAAUUUUGGUAAGCAGAACUGGUGCUGUGGGAUGAACCAAACGCAAAGUUAAGGCGCCUGAAUCAACGCUCAUGAGACACCAUGAAAGGCGUUGGUUGCUUAAGACAGCAGGGCGGUGGCCAUGGAAGUCGGAAUCCGCUAAGGAGUGUGUAACAACUCACCUGCCGAAGCAACUAGCCCUGAAAAUGGAUGGCGCUGUAGCGUUGUGCCUAUACUUUGCCAUUGUGCUAUUAAGCCUUAACGAGUAGGAAGGUCGCAGCGAUGUGCGUAGAAGGGUCUGGGUGUAAACCUGCCUGGAGCCGUCGCUGGUGCAGAUCUUGGUGGUAGUAGCAAAUACUCCAGCGAGGACCUGGAGGACUGUUGUGGAGAAGGGUUUCUUGUGAACAGCUGUUGCACAAGAGUCAGUCGAUCCUAAGCUCUAGGAGAAAUCCAAUGUUGAUAGAUGCCCUAAUUUGAAAGGCAUCUGUAGAGCGAAAGGGAAUCUGGUUCCUAUUCCAGAACCUGGUAGCGGAACCGUUUCAAAUUCGAGCCCUUAAUGAGCUUGUCGGGGUAACCCAAAAAGACCCGGAGACGCCGUUGGAAGGUUUGGGGAGAGUUGUCUCUUCUCUAUAAGCGUUCGAGUUCCCUGGAAUCCUCUAGCAGGGAGAUAGGGUUUGGAACGCGAAGAGCAUCGCAGUUACGGCGGUGUCCAAAUCUUUCCUUCGGACCUUGAAAAUCCGGGCGAGGGCUACGAGGAACACCGCACCAGAUCGUACCCAUAUCCGCAGCAGGUCUCCAAGGUGAAUAGCCUCUAGUCGAUAGAAUAAUGUAGGUAAGGGAAGUCGGCAAGCUUGAUCCGUAACUUCGGGAUAAGGAUUGGCUCUGAGGAUYGUGGCGUGCUGGGCUUGGUUGGGAAGUGGAGCGGUGUCAAUUAGCCGGGCCUGGGCAAAGUAAACAGUUUUUACUGUUAAUCUAAGCUCGGUCCCGUGCCUUGGCCACCCAUGGAUCUUCCUUGCAAUAGGCUUCACAAUUGUCAGUUACUAAGUUUUAUCUUGGUAAAACGGAUUGUGGGUCUUUUCGGCCGCCUUUUAACGAUCAACUCAGAACUGACACGGACAAUGGGAUUCCGACUGUCUAAUUAAAACAAAGUAUUGCGAUGGCCCCAAACGGGUGUUGACGCAAUAUGAUUUCUGCCCAGUGCUCUGAAUGUCAAUGUGAAGAAAUUCAAGUAAGCGCGGGUAAACGGCGGGAGUAACUAUGACUCUCUUAAAGUAGCCAAAUGCCUCGUCAUCUAAUUAGUGACGCGCAUGAAUGGAUUAACGAGAUUCCCAUCUGUCCCUAUCUACUAUCUAGCGAAACCACGUGUCCUAAGGCCAGCUCAGCGAGGACAGAAACCUCGCGUAGAGCAAAAGGGCAAAUGCUGGCUUGAUCUCGAUGUUCAGUAUGCAUAGAGACUGCGAAAGCAUGGCCUAUCGAUCCUUUUAGUCUGAAGAACUUUCAGCAAGAGGUGUCAGAAAAGUUACCUCAGGGAUAACUGGCUUGUGGCAGCCAAGCGUUCAAAGCGACGUUGCUCUUUGAUCCUUCGAUGUCGGCUCUCCCUAUCAUAGUGAAGCAGAAUUCACUAAGUGUCGGAUUGUUCACCCGCUAACAGGGAACGUGAGCUGGGUUUAGACCGUCGCGAGACAGGUUAGUUUUACCCUACUAAUAAAUAGUUUUUGCGUUAGUAAUCCUGCUCAGUACGAGAGGAACCGCAGGUUCGGACAUUUGGUUCAUGCACUCGGUCGACAGGCCGAUGGUGCGAUGCUACCAUCCGUAGGAUUAUGCCUGAACGCCUCUAAGGCCGAAUCCUUUCUAAAUAAGCAAAUAUAACAUUUAUGGGCUUUGUGAGUUAAAAGGCUUAAGCAAUGUGAUUGUUUAGGUGGUUAACAAUUUUGUUUAAUCAUCACAUAU
rnacentral:rRNA from 1 species